GGAAGUUUACGCCCAUACAAACCAAGUGUGAGUAAAUUCUACUGUAGCCACAGUCAUACAACCUUUAACUUUUAAGAGUAGCAGUUUGUGAAUUUAUUGCUGUGAUUCAGCCAACUACAACCUAAAACUGAACGAGAAGACAACGGCGCCCCCGGGUAAGAAGAAAAGCUCGGACGAGGCUUUUGCUGUGAGAGCUGCGGAUGGUCGUGACGGUUGAUGCCGGGCUAACAGGCUAACAGGUGUCACCACGUAGUCCACGAUUGCCAAGACGUCAUCCAUGAUCACAGAGACAUGGUCCAUGAUCGGAGAGACAUUGUUGAGGAUGAGGGAGACUUUGUCCACGAUCAGAGACAUUGUCCGUGAUCACAGAGACCUUGUCAAAGACGAGAGAGACGUUGUCCAUGAUCAGAGACAUUGUCCCAUGCUUCGUAGAGACCUUGCGAUAGAAUCGGCGGAGACGGGGGUCACCGAUUUGACGGCAUUGCCCGCGAUCAGGGACAUUGUCAAUGGUCACAGAGACAUUGUCCAUAAUCUCAGAGACAUUGUCCGCGAUCACAGAGACGUAGUCCACGAUCACAGAGAUGUAGUACAAGAUCACAGAGUGUCUUCGUACAAUGAAGAAGUUCUUUGAGACCAGGACAGAGGCCUUCAGGUGCCACCACUUCUUCCACGAUCAUAGAGACAUGGUCCAUGAUCGGAGAGACAUUGUUGAGGAUGAGGGAGACAUCGUCCACGAUCAGAGACAUUGUCCGUGAUCGCAGAGACCUUGUCAAAGAUGAGAGAGACGUUGUCCAUGAUCAGAGACAUUGUCCAUGCUUCGUAGAGACCUUGCGAUAGAAUCGGCGGAGACGGGGGUCACCGAUUUGACGGCAUUGCCCGCGAUCAGGGACAUUGUCAAUGGUCACAGAGACAGCGUCUAUGAUCUCAGAGACAUCGUCCACGAUCACAAAGACAUAGUCCAUGAUCGCAGAGACAUUGUCCAUAAUCUCAGAGACAUUGUCCGCGAUCACAGAGACGUAGUCCACGAUCACAGAGAUGUAGUACAAGAUCACAGAGAGUCUUCGUACAAUGAAGAAGUUCUUUGAGACCAGGAUAGAGGCCUUCAGGUGCCACCACUUCUUCCACGAUCAUAGAGACAUGGUCCAUGAUCGGAGAGACAUUGUUGAGGAUGAGGGAGACAUCGUCCACGAUCAGAGACAUUGUCCGUGAUCGCAGAGACCUUGUCAAAGACGAGAGAGAUGUUGUCCAUGAUCAGAGACAUUGUCCAUGCUUCGUAGAGACCUUGCGAUAGAAUCGGCGGAGACGGGGGUCACCGAUUUGACGGCAUUGCCCGCGAUCAGGGACAUUGUCGAUGGUCACAGAGACAGAAUCUAUGAUCUCAGAGACAUCGUCCACGAUCACAAAGACCUAGUCCAUGAUCGCAGAGACAUUGUCCAUAAUCUCAGAGACAUUGUCCGCGAUCACAGAGACGUAGUCCACGAUCACAGAGCUGUAGUACAAGAUCACAGAGAGUCUUCGUACAAUGAAGAGGUUCUUUGAGACCAGGACAGGGACCU